AGCGAACGCUGGCGGCAGGCCUAACACAUGCAAGUCGAACGAACCCUUCGGGGUUAGUGGCGGACGGGUGAGUAACACGUGGGAACGUGCCUUUAGGUUCGGAAUAACUCAGGGAAACUUGUGCUAAUACCGAAUGUGCCCUUCGGGGGAAGGAUUAUCGCCUUUAGAGCGGCCCGCGUCUGAUUAGCUAGUUGGUGAGGUAAAGGCUCACCAAGGCUACGAUCAGUAGCUGGUCUGAGAGGAUGACCAGCCACAUUGGGACUGAGACACGGCCCAAACUCCUACGGGAGGCAGCAGUGGGGAAUCUUGCGCAAUGGGCGAAAGCCUGACGCAGCCAUGCCGCGUGGAUGAUGAAGGUCUUAGGAUUGUAAAUACCUUUCACCGGUGAAGAUAAUGACUGUAGCCGGAGAAGAAGCCCGGCUAACUUCGUG
rnacentral:rRNA from 1 species